rnacentral:rRNA from 1 species
UGCCCAGACUCCUACGGGAGGCAGCAGUGAGGAAUAUUGGUCAAUGGGCUUACGCCUGAACCAGCCAAGUCGCGUGAGGGAAGAAUGUCCUAUGGAUUGUAAACCUCUUUUGUCAGGGAGCAAAGUCACCCACGUGUGGGUGUUGGAGGGUACCUGAAGAAAAAGCAUCGGCUAACUCCGUGCCAGCAGCCGCGGUAAUACGGAGGAUGCGAGCGUUAUCCGGAUUUAUUGGGUUUAAAGGGUGCGUAGGCGGGUUAUCAAGUCAGCGGUAAAAUCGUGGAGCUCAACUCCAUCCAGCCGUUGAAACUGGCAGUCUCGAGUUGGAGAGAAGUAUGCGGAAUGCGCGGUGUAGCGGUGAAAUGCAUAGAUAUCGCGCAGAACUCCGAUUGCGAAGGCAGCAUGCCGGCUCCACACUGACGCUGAGGCACGAAAGCGUGGGUAUCGAACAGGAUUAGAUACCCGCGUA